rnacentral:pre_miRNA from 1 species
UCUCCUCCGCAGGCUGCCGUCCCCAGGCUGGGCUGGGCGAGUGUCUCUUCGAAAGGCUCACCUUCAAUCACGACUGGAGC